rnacentral:lncRNA from 1 species
GUCGUUCCUGAAAUUCUUUCACAUAAUUGAAGAUUAAUUUGAUUCCCCAGCUUGUUGAGGGUAGUUGACAGUGGGGGGCUGGGGUGGGUGGAAAUAGAUUAUUCAAAUCACAAAGAAGUAGGUGUGCCCUAAGUGACUGUUCCAUUACGGCGAGGAAGAAAUGUUUGCCUUCCUAAGCAUUCAUCCAACUCGCUGCUGCCGAUUGUGUGGGGCCGGAGGAGAGUGCCUGCUCACGAUCGGAAAGCAGCUCCUCUCCGUGUCCUGUGCUGGUGACUUCAGAGAGUGCAUUGUCGUGUAUGGACACCACACCGACCACUCUGUAACCCUCACCCUUCGCCCAGGCCCCUCCCUGCCUGCUCUGGCUGUGCACAGCUACCCCAGAUCCUCGCCCUGCUGUUUGUGGCCCCCACACUUUGAUUUCCCCUCGUGUCUUCACUUUCCACACUUGUACAUCCCGAAAGUUUCCAAGUCCUAUGGAUUCUGCUUCUGUUAUUUCUAAUUCAAAGGUUCUGGGCUGUGCCUUCCAACUGGAUAAAGCUGACCCUGGAAUUGGCACCUGGUGGGUGAGCAAUCAGGGUCCGUUGAAUGAAAAAUGGCCUCCACCUUAAUCAAGGUUUCAGCUCCAAAAAUAAUCCUACGUGUAUCUCUGCCCACUACUGCAUUAUCCUCCAUGACAGUCGGCUUGGAUCACAUUAUUUUAAUGUUCAGCACCUAGCUUUUUCCUGAAUCCAAUGUAAAGUACUCUUUUCUUUUUCUUUUGGCACCAGGGAUCGAACUCAGGACCUUGCGCUUGUGAGGCAGACUCAGUGCCACUGAGCUAAAUCCCUGAUCCCCAAACUACUCUUUUUAAAUACACCCCAACUUAUUUUUCCUCAGUACUCCUUCACAAACUCCUAAAUACCCUAUGCUCAACACAAAACAUACAGUUCCCAAAGGAAGAUCUUCCAGCCUACACUUACCCAACUUUGUGAUGGGAAGAAAGCCACAGGGUAGGCUGGGAAGCAGGCUCUGAAGUUUGAAUUCAGUCUGUUCUGGGCUGGUGAUAGGUGGUGAUGCUUCUUCCCAGUCUGGACAGCAGCAGUGAGUCAUUUCAGCAGGAGAAACGCAGAAACUGUAGGUGGCACCGUGCGGGCAGUGUGUUUUGGAUAUUGUCAUUCAGAAAGUUAACUGAGAUAGUCAAUGCUUAAUUAUAAAAUGGGCUUUGAGUUGGGUGGUGCUGCUUAACUGUAUGUAAGGAAGGCAGGCCAGGCACAGCUGUGAUGUCCAGUAGGUGAAGAAUAGUAAAUACAUUUUUGAUUUUUUCUAUUUAUGAUGGGUUUUAGCCUCAGUAGAAAUGCAGCAGCACCUGUAUUAUUUAUUCAUUUUGGUCUCUGCCUCAUAGCUUAGUUUAUCUUCAUUUCUUCAACCGUAAUGCUUACUCUUGUUUAUUCAGCAGUAUUGGGGAUUGCACUUGGGGUCUUUGCACUGAGCUACACACCCCGUCUUUUCCCUUCUUUCCUGAGUCAAGGUGUCGCUAAACUGCAGAUUUUCCUGGGUUGAUCUCCUGAUUGUGAUUGUCCUGCCUCAGCCUCCUAGAGUGUAUCCGGCUUCACUCAUCUUUUAAAAGUGAAUUUUUACUGGGCUUUUAAGGCACAUUUCAAAUGCUGCCCCGCCCAUGGAGCUACAGUAUUUGGGUUCUGUAUGUCUUUUUCAGCUAAGCUGGAUGUUCUUCCCUUUUCAGGGAAUUUAUGGGAUUCCUACCAGCAGGUACCUGGUCGGGAGAUGGGAGCUAAACUUCCUUUUUUUGUGCCUGGACCCUCAAUGUCUUACACAUAGUAGGCACAUAGAGUACUUUCAUUAAAUUACAUUCAUGUUUGUUUUUUCCUCAGGGCUGCCGGGAUGUUUCUUUCUCUUUUGAGUCCAGGUUGAUGCUCCUCACUGUGGGGCGUGUGUCUGUGUGAGUAGCCCGCUUAGCUCCUUCAGUGAGGAGACAUACGUUGUUUAGUCCUUAUUUUAAACUACUUUUCAGAAUGGGAGAACAACGCCUUCAUUUUGGAUCCAUGUGAUGCACUUUGAAUUUGCUCAGCUUUAGUUUGUGCUGCCCCUCAUUCUGUGUGGAAAUUAGUUCCACCGAAGUGCCACUGAACUCAGAGCUGCCUGCAACUUGAGAUGCAAACUCCAACACUGUGGGCCACUUUUGAGAAGCAUGUGGUCAUUCGGGAAACAAAGACACUCCUGUUUCCUCUUCUCAAUAACAAUUAAGACAUCAGAUUAAUAGAAUCUUUAAAUUCUUGAAUGAUGCUUGCAGAACAGUUUGUGUUUGCUUUAACACAAAGGAAUACUUUCUGAAACCUAAAGGUCACCCAAGAAAUAAGAGAGAGACAAUUUAGGAAUGGUGCAUGCUGGUAGAGUUUUGCAGAAUGGCAUGUGUUCUUUACAGUGUGUUUCUGGCUUUGGAGCCACUUGGCAUGGGAGUACACUGUGAUUUACUGCAGACAGGCAUUCCUGGGCAAGGAGUCCCCUGCAUGGAAGGGACAUGCCAUCAGGAGAAGGAGAGGACACUGGGGGUGGGAUGGGGGAAGAAGACUUCUCAGUUCCCACUCUAGCAUUUACUUAAUGAGUGUAAUGUUCUUGCUAAUGGGAUUUAACCACAAUACCUGUCUCUAACCUUGUCACCGAAAAGGUAGUCUACAUGCCCCUCUUUUCAAUGCUGUCUGGGUGGAAACUGUGCCCAAGUCUGUUCUCCCAAUUUUCUAAGUGGUAAUCCUAGAAUUAUCUUGGCUCAGAAAUAAAUGAAGAACUCAUGUACAGGAGUCAGAUUUCCCUACAGGGGUUGUAACUGAAACAAGGAUUAAGUACCAGUGUACAAAACCUUUCAAGCAAUGGACAGCAUGUCAAUUGCGGAACACUCUAUCGUAGAAGGGCCCUUAGCGCUUCUCUUUUAUAAAGCCUGAGAUCAGAUUUUGGUGGAGAAUUAAAAGCAGGGCAAUUUAGCUCCUUUAAAGGGUUGCUGGUUUGGGAGGACCCAGCUAUUUUUAGCUCUGUUGCUGUCUGUCCAGGAAGCUAAAACAGCUAGUCAAUUAAAUGGUAAACAGUGUGUGUGUGUGUGUGUGUGUGUGUGUGUGCAAGGUGUUGUGUAGGAGUAGGGCAGGGAGCUGGGGAGAUAAAAUAGGCCUCAGAAAAGAGUCUACCCAGGGCAAGAACUUUGCAAAGAGUUGCACAGUGUCAUGCAGAUAAAGCAUCCACUGGUGGCCACCUGUUACACAGUGCACACGUUUAUUUGAUGUUGCGCAGCAGAUGGAAUGGAAUGACACUAAGCCAGCUGAUCACUCAUGCUCAGGCAUCCAUUGAGUGAUGGUCACAAACUCUCUGCCAUUUACUGACUAUCUGCUAUACACCUAGCAUGGCGCUUUACUUCCGGUGUGCCAUUGGAUGUUGACAGCUGCAGCCUGAGAAGCCGAUACAGAGACAUUUUUGCCCAAGAUUACCUACCUGAUAGGUGCCUGAACUGGAUUAGAAUCUAGUUUUCUUUCCAACUCUGCUCUAGUCACUUCUGUAGCCUGCCUCCCACACUGGUCCCAGCUGCACUGACACUAUGUGAUCUGAAAUCGGUGUGUGAGGGCACUUUGGCCUUCCUGGAGAAAGGCAUGGAGCACACACAGGCCCGAUAUGCACACACAGAAAUGUGUAUAUACUGAACCUACAUUUAAAUCCACAUUUUAAGUGUGCCAGUAUCCUUAAAAAGAAAUAAUGAGGGACUCUCAUUUACAUUUUGCUUUCCAGUUUUCCUGGAACUGUAAUUUGUACUCCUCUUUUUUAAAAAAAAUCCCCUUUACCUUCUUUUAUUUAUUAUGAUCCCUGGAGAAUGUGUCCUCUGCUCAUGGCCUAGAUAAGAGAUCAUGGGUAUGGAGCAGAGGUCAGCAAGAUAGACGUAUGUUAGAAAAAAAAAAGAAAAUAGCAGGGUGGAACCACAUGGCUCUUAGUGGUCAUUUUUUCCCCUCAUGCUGUGUAGCAAACCUGAGGCAUGCUCAAUUUGGCAUCUUUGAAUUUAAACCAUGGAUAAACCAAAUAGAUCACAAACUAUGAUUCCAAAUAGAAACUGUGGAUUUAUCCGAAGGUAUAUUAUAUGAUCUCAUCCAAACAUAAAAUUCAUAUUCUAAGAGUGGUGUGUAAAAUUCCCCGAGAUUUUAGUGCAAGAUAAUUUUCCCUUUUCAUGUGCCUUUCCUCAUAUUGAGAUAGGUGGAAAUCUUUUAAGAUUUUAAUUAACCUUCGUCCUAAUGAAAAACCAACUACCAAUCUAUAGAUGGAAGGAUAUUUCCUUGGACAAUGUAGCCGUUAGUGUAAGGUCUUGUUGAAUCUCUUUCAACAAGUGUUUGGAAAAAAUCAAAUUUAGAAAUAAACAUUCAUAUCUAGAGGGCCUAUCGGGGUUUCCCUCCAAGCAGACAAAGGAAUACUUUCAGUCUUAUUAUAUGUCUUUGGACAAGCUCAGCUCUCAGGGCCUGCUGAGCUCUAAUAUCUUACGAAUCACUAACAGUCAAACUUCUUUCAUUUUGAGGCCCAUUCCUGGAGGGAUAAAGAUAAUGUGGUCAAGGAUGCAACAAUCAGCUGUUGGACUCAGAUGUGGCUGUAGAUAUAAAACAGAGUAUCUCUUCCUUUCCAGAUCAAAGGGAGAGAGUCCUUAGAAUGCUCAAGUUCGAAGUAGACAAAGAGGAGAAGGAAUAUCUAGCAUCAAAAUAGUGGCAAAUAUAAAAAUCUAGGCUUAUUACUGAGACCUAGGAAACAAUUCUCAAGGAAUGUUCCUGCUGCCAGUUACCUGAGAUUUUUUAAUUACAGGCAAUUCAUGAUUACCUGUGAAAGGAGGGAUGGAGAGGAGAACUCAAACAAUGAAUGUUGCAAAAUCAUACAAAUUGGCUUGGGAAUAUUCUGCAUGAUUUCUCCCUCUUAGAAAUUUGCCUUCCUAAUUGUAUUUUGCUUAAUCCAAUAUUAAAAAUUAGUUGGUUUCCCCUGAGAAGCUCUGGAGUUAAACUGCAGAGGGAAUUAGUUUCAGGAGCAUGCCACUUGGAACGUGGUGGAUGAAACGUAUUCGGGCCUUAAUGGACCAAAAGCUCCCACAGAUAUUUUAAUCUUAAAGGAAAGUGUCAUCUUGAGCACCUUACUAGUCUUCUCAUGUUGCCUAAAAGGCUGUAAACAAGUAUUUGUGAUCGUUAUGUAGGUGAGAUUAUUUCUACCUAGAUUUGUGCAUUUUUACCUGGAGAAUGUUCCAUUCUCGUCUCUCCCCUCCUUGGUAGCUGUAGUAAAUAAUAAACCAUCUAUCAGACUUAAGCAUAGGGCCUUAAUGGGGCCAGAAAUUUUGUUGAAUAAAUGAGAACAUUACUUAAGGCAGGUCUGGGUCUCAUUGUGUGACACCCAAGCAAUCCAUGAGGUGAUGUUUGUGAUUUAGGAAUCCGAACCCUUAGGCUAUAGAGUUGUUUUCUUUGGGGUUCCAGACUAAGUUCCCUUUGCUUCCUUCCCAACUUCCUUAAUUCUUUCCUUUCUCCCUCCCUGCCCCAUUUUUUAUAUUUGCCUUGUACCAUAUUGAAAUUAUUUCAUAUUGUAAUGUUCCGUCAGUAUAUACAAAUUCAAAAGUAGACGUACAUCCCUUCAGCUUAUAGUGCAUCUACAACUGAAAAUCCAAAACAAAUUUGCACACUGAAUUCCAACAAAAUGACAAAUGCCGCACUCAGAUGAACAAUACUGAUUUGACGUGAUGAACGACAGUGAGCUAACAUUAAGUGCUCACUUGUGGCAGUGGUGGUGGACCGACUGGUAGGCUGGUGAUGCUUUAAUUUUAUCAUACCUUUCUGUGUUUGUGAUGUAGAAGACAGUUCUAACAUCUUACUUAAAUCCCCUAGAAAGCUUUGGUCCACAUAAGUGUGCUGAUAGAUCAUGUAGCCUCACGAAUCCAUAAUCCAUUUUUAGGUUCACAAUCAGGUAUUGUGGGUCCUGGUGAGUAUGUAGUUUUGGGGAGUAUUUUAAAUAAAAAGUUAAAAGGUAAUGAAAGCAGAAUAAGUGGGGUUCCUCUCAGGCCCUUGGAAAGAAUCUGUACAGAGCAGUGCUGAACAUCAGGCAUUCUUAGCUUCAAAUCCAUCUUCCAAAUCCAUCUCGUUCAUGGGUCAAGCACUUCUCUACUUUCCUUUUAUUACCAAUAAAAAUGUCCAACCGGGUAACAAUGAGGAGUUGUAUUUUGUUUUCAUUUUAAGGAUAUAGUUUUGCAUUAUACAUUGGUACUUUUUAAAGGUAAUUCUUAAAAUAAAAACAGAAAAUUAGAUAUGGUUAUUUGUAGCACAGAUGGUUGCACAAUCUUUUUAUGUAAACUAUUUCUCCUAUGAUGGAUUCCUACAAGGAAACCCUGGGAGAAAGUUUUGGGGCUUGCCUUUUUUUUUCAGCAUUCGUUUAAUUUACAGAGGUCAUGGAAAUAGAGAGGUCAGCAUUUCUCAAGAACAGCUUUUCCCAACCUGCCUGGCUUCUCGGAGCUUGAUCUGGGGGCUCACACAGCCCUUGUCAUUGUCUGGCACCUCGCCUGGUAACAUGGUUGUGAGCCCUGUCAGAAGACAGGGCCAAAGUGUGCCUCAGGUCAGCAUUUCUCUGGGGACCGAGGGGGCAGGCAGAACCCAGAGGUCAGAUCUGCCUUGGGGAUAACAUUGCAGAGUCCAGUGGUUGCAAUCAGGUGUGUUAUAAGUCAAAGCCACAUGGCAAACAGCAGGCACAGGGAAUGCUCAAAGGUCAGAUGGGCAACACAAGCCAGGGUCAGGAAGAACUUGGAGCUACAAUACCAGUUGGCAAGCAAAGCAGUCAUAAAAACCAUGAUCAGGCACAUUAUGCCUGUUGGACCUAAAUUCUUUCUGCCUACGAGACUGCUGUGCUCAGAGACAUUGGCUCUGGUACCAUGUGAGAGCACCUGGUAGACUGGAGAAUAAACUAUUAUACUCAAGAUCUAACCUGCCCUCUCAGGUUCUCUUCUCUCUAAGACAGGACAGUGAUGUCUCCACUGAAGUGACCUCCAUCGUACAGGUAUCCAGGAUACAUGCUCUGGGUGGAGCUUAGUUCUAAGAGAAUGUUUAUCUUGGAACCUUCUAAGGCUUUUCAUCAAAUAGUCCUAGCUUUCUUACUCCUUGCUUUAUGGGGUUGUUGUGAAUGGGUUUUGUAAAUAAUAAAGGACUACCACAUACCAGAUGACUACAAUCCUUUCUUUCCAGUGGGGAUUCUGAUGUUUAUAUUACCUGAAAGUUGUUUUCAAGUGAGGUUCUCAGCUAAUAAAUAUUUUUUUGGGUUUUCUUUCUAUUUUUUUUUUCCUUGAUUGAGCCUCAUCUUUUUGGUGACCAAUAAUUUAUUGGAAAUUUUAUCUGAGAAAAAUGUUUGCAGAGAUGGAGAGUUUCCCAGAUUCAAAAGAGAUUUUUCUUCUAAAACUCAGAGCUGGUAGAGCUACAAGACCAGCCUCUUUGUCUAAUCAAUCAGGUUUUUAACACAAUACACCCAGCUGAUGCUUGGGUAGAAUACAAAUUCCCAGUCAUGUGAGCUCUUAUCAGUUAUAAUACUGACAAAGAAUUAGCCAGUCUCUUUUGGUAAAAUGAUAGUUGCGGGCGCCUUAAUUUUUCUAGAAAUAUUUGGGGGAUUUGAAAGCUUAAGAAGUAAACAGGUUGUUUUGCUCAGGAAACCUUCUCUGAAAGACUGAGCAGGGUUCAUCUGAUGACAUUAGCUUUGCAAGUAAUUUCCAUGAUGUCAAGGGCACACUGGAGAUUAAAGAGGGAUUAAGACCUCCUUGCACAGUUAUGGCAUUGCAGUAAAUGGACUGGACUUGGCAGGCUGCAGCUCCGGUCGGCAACUUUCCAACACCUAAUCAUACACAAUAUAGGUUUGUGGUGUUACCUGGGCUAUUUUCACAGAGGCCAAGAAAUGUUUAACAGAUAAGGUGGGAGGAGAAAGAGGCUGGGAAGGAGGGUGGACCUGAGAAGAGCAGUUUAAGACACACCUGCCACCAUCAAGAGCUGCCGAAGAAGAUCAAGACAUUAAGGAAAAACAAUUUUUUUCAUAAUGUUUCAAAACAUGAGUUUCCAUCCUUUUUCCACUCCCAAAUUCUCCAGAUAUGCCUCUCUCUUAAAAGCUUUUUAUCCUUCAUGUUAUUAUCAAUUUCUUCAGCAAAAGGAGGCAGGUUUGUCCAGGAACUUCAUGGAAUAAAAAUGAGUUUAUGUUUUAAAACGGAAACAGCUGGAUGGCCAAAGCCAGGCAGGGAGGCAGCUCUGGUUUCAUCAGCAAAGGGAAACUCAAGGGCCUGGAGAGAACAACUGGGCUGGCAGCCAUGGCGGGGAGAAGAAAAGGAAACACACGAUCAUAAAGAACUAAUCAUGAUGAAAAAUGAAAAGCGAGAAAGAGCCAAGAACAACAAGCAAUAAAUAGAUUUGGAAAGGGGAAAAGACCAAAGGAAUGCAAAACCAUACUCAGGAAAGGGGCAGCAAGAUCAUGUGCGUUUCAUUGAAAAAUGUUUAAUAAUUCUUAAAAUCAUUAAAGAGUCCUACAGAAAUGUUUGGAGAUAACUUGUCAGACCUGAGAUUUAAUUCUUUGUGUUAUUUCAAAGCUGAUUUCAGUGCAUGAAAAGAAACAAAGUAAGAAAGGAAGAAAGGAAGAAAAGGAAAGGAAGAAAGAAGGAAAGAAAGAGAAUCAAAUGGACCUAGAGGGAGGAAUCUAAUGUAUAAUGUGCCAGAAUGCUUGGAUUUUUUUCUUUCUGCUUUUAUUUUUUUUUAACUUUUAAUUUCAGCCCGAUGGUAGGGAAAGUAAGCAAUUAGUUUGACUCUGUAGGUUCAAAGACUACAUCCAGGGCUGGGGAUUUAGCUCAGUGGUUUUGCCUCCUGCUGCGCAAGUGCAAAGACCCGAGUUCGAUCUCCGGUACCAAAAAAAAAAGGACUACAUCCAAAGUGAUAAAUCCUGAGUUUCUAAGAGUAAUUCAUACAUUCCUAGCUUUAAUUAGAAAUAGCAUGUACAUUUUUCUCUAUGCAGUAAUUGUCUGACAUUCAUGUGUUUGUCUCAAGGGACUGACAGUUCUGACUCACAGGUAGAUCUCUAAAUAUUUUCAGAUGAAAUUAACAUGGAUUUAAGGAGGACUUAAGAAGAAAACCAGAUCCUAGUUUGUUGUCCCUCUUGAAGUGUGUUCGACAUGAUAAAAUAUACAAACAUGGCCAAUUGUCCAGGCUAUCCUCGAGAUGGGAUUUUUAAUAAAAACUAUUUGAAGUUUUACAGCAGUUAUAGAUAAAAUCUUACCACAGAAAUGGUGCUGUCUUUUUAUAGGGGGGAUACUAAUUAUUAGCUUUUUUAAAAAAAUUAGUUUUUAAUAGCAGCAUUCGUUUAAAGAGAGAAAAAAAUGCUUAUGUUACCUUCUGGAAUGUACAUUCAUCUUGUUAAUGACACUGUAGUUCAUGGUUGGCAAAACAGGACUUCUGAAUCAACCUGUCUUUUUCUUUCCGUUUGGUAGUUACACUUGAGAAAGAAAGCCAGCCCACUAAAGAUACAUGAAAAGUGCAUGAAGACAGGAUAAAGGAUUUCCUAUGAUUUUAUGUUGUUCUUAAUUAGGAAGCAUAUUGGCAACAAAUGCUAACAUGUGUUAAGAUGUUUAGUUGUAGCCAAAUAAAUGUUUUCUAUUACAACUCUGAAUUCCAUGCCUACUAGGAAACCAUGCUGUUCUGUGCAUGGCUUACAAAAUCCCUUUACAAAUCAUCUCAAGGACCAAUUUUCUGUUGGCUCACAGAGCAAAACUACUUUCGCCACAUGUUCUCCUGAAGGGUCAUGGGCAACUCCAAGCGGAAGUCAAAGACAAGAGGAACAUGAUCUCCGAUGUUGGAACUGCACUGCUUUGUGGUAAUGAAUGGUCCUUCAUGAGCAUACUCAAUGUGAGCCCAGUCUCAGAAGGGGGUGUCCAGAAGCUAGGGAGCAGCACCCUCUCAUCUGUGUUUGUUUUUAUCUCAGUGGAGGAGAAGCCAAGUGAAGAAGAAUUUCCUAUAACUUCUGCUAGCAGUGUAUCACAAAAUGCUUCAUCUCCGAUGAACAAGAGUAGGCACCAAGCUGAGUAACAAGGCUAGAGAGGAUCCUUAUCUUGAUCAUUGCGUAUUUUUAAAGAGCAAACAUUUAUUUUCUACUUCUAAUGUCAGAAGUUGAUUGAAAAAGAACAAAAAGUGAAUGGUGGUGAAGUUGUUUCCUAAAAUUUAAUAUUAGGGCACCUUCUCUAUUCAGGAUCUUAUGUUGCAAGCUAACUGUACAACUGUCAUGCUUUUGGGGGGUAACUGGUGCAUGGAUUAUUCUAUCUGUGUCUUAGAAACUUUAAGAGAAAAGAUUUCCAUCAUGGUAUUUUCUACUGCAUUGCACAGAAAUUUUACAUACCCUCAUUCAUUUACACAGCUGAAAUGACACAGGAGAUAGCCAGCAUCUGUCCAUUGGUUGGAAAGCACUCUAGUUUUUUGAUAUCAAUAAGUCAAUGGAAUCCAUGACUUACAGCAAUCUUGCGGUAUUCAUUCAAUAUGCUAUGACCAUGUUACCUAAAAGCUUCAUCUCUGCUCCCUGCAAUAUUCUUCCUCCAAUUUUUGGCUGGUGUGUUCUCUCCCUUCUUCAUGCCUUUUUUCAAUUGUCCCAAUUCCUGAAGCUUCUCCUCAUGUCUCAAGUAUUCUCUUUCCCUGUGUGCAAUUAUUUUGUUUUCUUCAUUAAUUUAGUUCCUCUCUCCUCUUCUAGGCUAUACAUUUCAUGAGGAAAGAAAGGCAUUUUGGUGUCAUUCUGGUGCCUAAGAACCUAAGUAGGAGAUGUGUAAUAAAUAAUUUGUUCACUGAAUUAACAGGCCCAUAAUAUUUUUGUUAUUCCUCUCACAUCCAUGGGCAACAUGUUCAAAACCUUGAAAAUUAUUAAAUCAUUUCUCUGCAUUGCUAUGUAAAACUUCUAAUAUUCCUAAUAAGACUGACCAUGCUUAUGAAAUCUUUUUUCCUUGGCCCACUGAGUAUAUGGACCACGAAAUAUUUAACAAAAAAGUGAGACUGUACAAAGAAGCACUAGGUUAGUGAAAGAUGAUUUUUUUUUUUUAGUGCUUUUAGGUGGUGACCUCUUAACAAUGUAUCAGAUCUUUUGUAAACCGUGAAAUGAAAUGACUGGCUAUCGGAACUAAAUUUGAAGAGAAAAACUGUCAUCUUCAAAGCAGUAAAAUCUCUAUAUAACCAUGUAAACUAAUUACUAGGUUAAGUAAAAUCACUGAAAUAUAUCAGGCCUUUCUCAUGUCUGCAGGGCAGACAUAAUACAGUAAAUUUCUAAUAGUCAGCCUGGGAAGGCGCUGUAAUGGUUAGAGGAUGUCAUGGUAAUAGUCUCAGUUUUGGUUGGGAGACUUACAAAGAGAAUAUUGGUUGUACAUAAACUGUAGAAUCUACUUGAAUAUUUCUUUUUCAUUUCUCCCUAUCAAAGAGUGGAAGAUAUUUUGUGUAUAAUGUUUUUUUUUAAUUUUAGAUUAUUUGGUAUAUUGUAUUUUUUCAUGUGGGUAACAAAAAUACGUGAGCAAGAGCAAAACCUACCAGAAGCCUCAAAAACAUAGGUACCAUGGAAGACCUCAUGAUUCUUUCAAUUAUUAAAAAGCACUAUUUUAAGAAGACAUGUUAGUAAUCCACAGUAAGUCAGAAGUAUUGGAUCAACACAUUGGAACAUUGAGUAUUUAUUUAGUUUUUGGUGCUGGGGCUGGAACCUAGGGUCUCACAUGUGGCAGGUAAAUAUUCUACAACUGAGCUGUACCCCUAGUUCUGAAUGUUUGUUUUAUUAGGUCAUUUUAUAUACAUAUAUAUUUAAAUUUGGGACAUUGUUUUCUAAAGUCUCAAACUACUCUUAUACUCAACCCCGAAGACAACCCAGCUCACCACUCUGGAUUACGACUAACUGUUUGCGUAUAUGUUUUUCCCAAGAAAUUAUGCACCUUGAAGAAAAAGACUUCAUUUUUUUUUGCUUCACAAUAUUUCCCAUGACCCAGUGCAUGGAAUGGAUAAAUUACCCUUAGCAGAGGCUCAUCAGCGAUUCCUGACUUCCCUGCUAACUUUUCCUAGAGAUGUGAAUUAAAGAUAGAAAUUUGUUCAGACCAUUGAUGGUCCUCAGAAAUACAAUCUUAAAAAGUUGAUAUCUAUCCGGUCUCAAUUCAUGGAGAGCGGUGGGAACCAGACCUCUGAAAAGUGGUUGAGUAUUGGGCUACAAGCUUAGGGGAUAGUCCAUGAGGAAUAAAACCAAAAACAUACAUUAACAUUUAUUUGCCCAAACGGCUGGUGCCUUAAAAGCUGGUGCCCUCCCCCAUUCCAAUUAACAUGGAGGGAAAUAUUCCAGCUGCUGGGAUCUUUCCUCUGCAUGCGAACCUGCCGUUGUUGCCUGGGUAGCCUGUGUGUCUCUUUGGAAUUGAUAAUGAGGUUCAAGAGAGAGAGGUAUGGCCUGUACUAAGCAUGUCACCCCUAUUUAGCACCUUUGCCAGGAUGGCAGCCACUAUUGUUUUAUUAUGUCCCUGAUCAGCUGGCACUAUUCAUAAAGUAAUCACUGCCAUUAACACAUCACGCCUCAAGCCAUCUGCUGCAGCAUCACGUACACCAAGCUGUUGGUUGCAAGCAAAGCAGGUGUCAUCUAAGGAUAGUGGCACGGUAAAGGUGGGAAGUCAUCAUAGUGAAAGAAGAUAUGUUCUAUCAAAUAAUUCCAUAUUUUGAUACAUUAUAGUAUAAUAGGCCAUGGUUAUUUUGCCCAACUUGCAGAUGGCUUAAAUAAGAUAAUUCAAGUUUGAAAUAUUUUAUUUUCAACACUGGUCAGUUAUGGAGCCAAAAAUGUCCUUGAAUACCUUGAUGAUAGCAUCUUGAUCACAAGUGGACUAUUGCAUUAAUUUGCAGUAAAGUUUAGAGCAUUCUUACAGAAGCCUUCCUCUGAUCAAUCAACUCUUCAAGUGACAAACAUUUACUGAGCAUGUAGUAAGUGACACUGAUACCUGUCUUGCUCAAAUUGUAAAAGUACUAGUUUAAAACAUGAUCUGGUAAUGUAUAUGGUAGAGACUCCAUGUGUACUGAAUUCCCACCCUUUGUUCUGUCCCUAACACUUCUCUUGAUUUUUGAAUAAUUUUAAGUUUUUAUUACUUUCCAUAUUGAUGGCAUUUUUAUGUCCAAAACAAGUUUACAUUGGAAAAAUAUAAUGAUUAAAUGCAAUCUAUAAAAAUGGAUAAAGUAUAGGAUGAUCAGUUAUUGCCACCCUCUUCAUUAUGAAGGGGAUUUGUGAUUAUACAAUCAUGAGUGGAGUUAAAAAUUUAAUUGAAAGUGUUAAGUGAGGUUAGGGAGUGAAAUAAGUGAUCAUACUUGGUCCAAAUAGUCUUUUCCACCUGCGUGUAAAGUGGAACUGCAUUCCUUGUUUCUUUAACUAUAGAAAAUUUAUCUAUUUGCUCUGUACUCCCCCCAUAAAAAAGAAAUAAUAAAACAUUAAUGAGAGUAGCUAACUCUGCCCUCUAUUUCAAUCCCCAAGCUUUGCUCUUAUCUUGGAAGUGAGAAGUGUUGGAUGAGGGGUUGGAUCUGCCAGCCCCUCUGUUACUUUUAGCAGCAUCCUGCUCUUCACUUGCUAAGGAUAUAUGUGUCUGGCUAUGCAGGCUGUGGUCCUAGGGUCCAUGUAACACAGCACUGUUCACCAGGACACACCUGUCCACAUAUCCUCUAGGCUACUGGGUGGUCUAAGGGAUUUUUAAGGCUAAAUUUGACUUUACAUUUAGAACUUCACCUCUAUGGGUGUAUGUUAAUCACCCAUGGAAUUGGUGAAGGCUACCGGAUUCCAAAAUCUAUUGAAAGCAAAGAUAGCCAUUUUCUAUAUCAAGAUUUCUCAACUACUUUUGAACUCAACUUCCUUUUGAAAGACAAAAGAAAUGUCAAGCUCUCUUCUCAUCCCUGAAGAUUUGUGGAUCCAUCUGUUGUCACCAAAAAGACACUCUCAAGAUCUACUUUUGUAGGUGGAGUUAAGAAAAACGUUUUAAAACUUCUCUUCUUGCCUUUACACCCUGAGAAUUUGGAGUGUAGAUUUCAGAUGGGAAGUAGACUACUUUUCACUAUCAAAUACUCAAUUGAAGGCAAGAUUUAGUUAUUUUGACUUGAAGAUUGAAAUUUUGGAGUCUGGAAUGGCUACCUUUGAAAAUAUAAGUGAAGAUAAAAAGACACAAAUGAAGAAUCAAAGAACAAGCUAAUGAUUAUUGUCCUUUUCUAAGGGGACUACAUAUGCUCAAUAAAUCUGUGAUUACUGACUACCUACUGACUUACAGGGACAGGCAUGCUGAUGGUUUUGGAUACUGUAAUUUUAAGUUGACUUUGCCACAUGUGAUUUAAUACUUUGAAUACAAAGCCCCCAAAUUGUUUGCUAUUUUGUUUGGAUCAAAAUGUGUAGCUCAAAUGACUUUGUAAGACUGGCUUCUCAAACUAUCACCUGCCCUUACAUCAGGCUCAGAAAGAACACAAAGACAAAAGACUCUUAGGUCCACUUCUGAUGCAUUACCAGCUCUUGCAAAUGCUCAACCAAGAAAAUACAUAAUGGUUCCUCUUUCGUCACUUUUGUUAAAAUAUUUUUGUUGAAAGUUGGUAAAAGCUGUAGAUGAGCAAGCCUGGUCAUAGGUUUGAACCUGGCACAAACGACGAGGGCACCUGGGAGAUAUUCUCCCGCUGAACAUGUCCACAGUACAGUUUUUGCCUCAGGAGCAUGUUCACUGUGGCUCUGCAGGACCCAGUUGUGUGAUAGUGGGAGGCUGAUCGACUUAAAGCACAUUGGUAGCUUGUGAACACUUAAGACUGGAAACCUUCUUUGAUAAAUGCACAUCUGUCUUCUUUUUUUGAAGUCCUUAGGAAAAAUGUUGCCGGACAUUUUGCUGCCCGGAGGAGUCUAGACUUCCUUAAGCAUAAACCUUAAUCCUUCCUGGCUUCCUGCUACAAUUCUUCUGUUUCCUCCCCCAUCUUUUUCUGGGCAAAGCCAAUUCUUUUUCUCUACUCUUACCUGAGGGUCUCUGUUCACUUUUGAAGCCACAGACAAUGCAAGAAACAUUUAUUCGAAUACCUAGGCCCCAAAUGUUUCUGGAAAAAUAAAAGAUGUGUGACCAAGGACAUUACUUACCCUUUCAAUCUGUGAAAUGGAGACAAUCCAGAGAUAUCCCCUAAGGGGCCUAUGGGUAAUCAUAUAAUGUUUAUAACUCUAUAAAACAAUGGGAUACUUAUCCUUGCAAUUUGUAAAUAUAAAUUUAUAAAGACUAUAACAGUUUAACUUAUUAUAGUACUUAUCAACAUUGUUAUGUGAGUACCAUGCACUAGCCCAUUGUGUCACUGAAACCCCCUUACUGAUGUUGUUAAACACUCAGGCUUCCAGAACAUACUAAGUGUUCAAUAAAUAUAAUCAGUUACUAUUUAGAGUAAGAUAAAAAGGUAAUAAAAUAAAGCUGUAAUUCUUGUAUGUACACAGCAUGGAGGAGAAAGACUACACAGCAUGGCUAAAGACUUGGAGAUCUGACUUGAAUAUUUUAAAGGACGUAUCUUAAAGCCUCCUUGAGGUAAAAAGCUUUGCUCCACCCAACGUCCCUGCCAUGAUGUUCUGCCUCAUCCCAGAACCAAAAGCAAUGGAGACAAGUGACUAUGGACUGGAGCCUCUGAAACUGUUUUUACUUGAAGACACCGAGAACUACAGCAUCAUUCAUUGUUGGCAUGUUACAGUAGAAAGACCACUGGGCUUGGGAGUAAGAAGAUGGAAAUCAAAGAGCCAGUUUUUUCACUUCAACAAAAUGGUGCUGAAGAAAUAGGAUAUUUCAGUGGUUCCUGAGCAUAACUUACAACAUCAGCAUGGUUGGAACUCUGUGCACACAUGCGUACACAUGGAUUACCCUCCUGAGCCUUUGGUUCAAAAGAUUGGAAAUUGAUUCCUAUUGUUUACAAGCAGCUGGUGUCAAUGACUACUGAUACAUCCAUUGAAUUCUAGUUUCUUCAUUUGUAAAACAGGAAUAGCAUUUCCUAUCCGUCAUAAACGAUUGUUGUGAAGAUUAAAUGCAACAAUAGACUUGUGGCACAGGCAUAAUGCUCAGAGGAAGCUCCCUUGUUUCUUCUUCCAGUGAGCCUUCCUUGUUGUAGCUCAGAGCUUCCCAAAGGGGAUUAGCUCCAUGGGAUGCUCUGCGGAAUGACUGUGUCUUGGGCAGUUGUAUUUGACACUUAGUCUUCCUUCCUGCUUGCUAAUGGACCAUUAGAACUUUAAGGACUCUAAAAUGAGCAGAAGAAAACGGACUGGUUAAAUCUGUUGCACUCAGUGUCCCCCAAAAAGUUAUUUUACUAUUAAACUUUUUAAAGUGGCAAUUAUUAAUUGAUGUUCAACAGAGCAUGCUUCAGGGAUCACUUCCCUCUACAAUCUCUAACUAAUGUUCUACCUUUCUAUAACCUCUCUCAGGGAAUUUACUGCUUGUUUUGAUCUGAUUAAGACCCAGGCUUUCUAAUCAUCCCGGACAAUAUCUGCUCUUUUUCUGAACUACUAAUUUCAGUGGACACUCAUAUUAGUGAUGAUUCUAUUUAACUUUAACUUCCUGAGAUUAUGAAGGUAGAACACAAAUUAUCUUGGAAGAAAUUAAACCAACAAUUUAGAAAUAAAAUUAAUAACUAAACAGUAAAAAUUCACAAGUACAAGGGUGUUAAAUAAAAAAAGAGAACAUUAUAUUUUGAGAGAGCAUAACUUACUCUUGCACCCAGUUUGAUGGGAUAAAUUUAAAAGUACAAGUUUGUCUGAGAGCUAAAUUAAUCCAAUAGUCAGAAAUACCUUGAUAAAAACUUAUAAAUGAACUAAAAAUAGUUAAAUGAGAUUGCUGCUGGAGGAUAACAACAUUGAAGUUGCCAAUCUAAGAGCUAUUGAGAAGCAGAAUAUAGUUACGUAGGUUUUUGGGGUGACAUAAUUUGCCUGGUCUGUAUUUUUAAAGGAAGGUGGACUAUUUUGUUUCUAUACAUCCUCCUGGAACUGAGAAUGUAUAUCUUUAGUUGAGGUGUGUCUAUAAAAUAAUGUCUUACUUAUUCAGGCCUAAGUGGAAGAGGGUACACCUGUAUGGAUGCAUGGCUUGAGGCGAAUGAGUGAACAAGAUAGUUGGAUUCAGGGUAUAAAGUUCAAAGCCAGGUCAGGAAGAGUUAGCAUUAAGACUUUGCUUCUUCAGAUAACUACUCAAUAUGUAUAUUUUUUGCAAGCAUCUUGCUUUUGCAGGUCUGCUAUGAAAAUCUCAGAAGAACAGCUUUGCUUGUGAGCUCUCCCACAUUUCUACUCUGGUCCUGGCCAGAAAGACUGUGAGAACACCCUUUCAUUUGGUAUUUGAGCCCUUCUGCCUCUAUUCCUGGCUUCAGACCAAAGGGAAUAAAUGCAACCGAACAUUUCAGAACCUCGAAAUAGUAAACCGAAAAUGGUUUGCUCUGCUUUUGGUUCUAAAAAUGAUUGACCUGAGAAUUUUUUUUCCAAACUAUCUGCUUGGUCCAUCUCUAGUGUGGAUUACUGGACUUUAGAAACCUGAGGAGGAGAGUAUUUCUUAGAAAAUACAUAAAGAAAAUAUGCAAACAAAAUUUUUAUAAUAAAGGUGCCCAGUUGCUACAACAGAGGUUAGAUUUUACGAGCAUGGUUUAUAUUCCUGAGUAUUUAAAGCAGAAGAGGCUUGGAUGAGAAAGUGGAAAACAUGGGCUUGUAUGGUGAGCCAGUUCAUCACUAGCUUAGUGACCAGGGCAGAUUCCCUAGGCUUUGUCUCCUCUGGGCAAAAUGAAUAGAAAUCAAAAGAAUUAUACUUAUUUUAAUUGAGUCAUUAUGAAGAACAAGGUAUUUCAGAAUACCUUAAAAAUUACAGUGCCAAAGACCAUGUGAAAGUCAGUAAAUCAUAGGGACUACAAGUUUGUAUGUUACCACCAAACACACCUGGUUUCAAAUCUCUGUUCCUCUGCAUUCCAGCUCUGUGACCUGCGUAUGUCACUAAAAACCUCUGAACACUGAUUUCAUCAUCUGUGAAAUGAGGAGAGUGAUGUUGGGAGAAGAAAGUCAAAUGAUGUAAAAUGGUAUUGAUGAUGCCUAUUGUACAUACUCAUAGUUCCAGGUGCCAAUCUAGAGAACCCUCUGAACUAUUUUCCACACAGUUACUUAGUCUUCUGAAUCCCAUUGAGUUGACACAAGAAUGAUGCCCAUGUGUUGGGUGGCUGCGUAGGGGGUCAGUUUACUUGCUUGGAUCCAAAAUAUGGAUUAGGCUCAAUGGGAAUAUCCAAAGGAGAAAGUAGAACACUCUGGCCGGGCUAUGCCAAGUAUAAAGCAAUGCUGAUUUGGGUCAAUUUUUAGCAUCCACUUUUCAAUAGCAAAGAGAGAAAGGUGAAAGGUAAAACUAUAUGCAGGGCCACUUUUUGUGGAAUUAGAACACCAGGACAGAUUUUCUUACAUUAGGGAUAGGAUACUUGUUUUGUGAAAAACAGGUAUUCACUAUAACUAAAUAUACAAUGUCACUGGUAGUUUACUUGAUAUUCCCUACACACAUUAAGGAUAGGAAUUUAGUAAAUAUUUGAUUUGAUUAAAUAUUAAAGUAUCAUAUAAGUCUUCCAAUGAAAACACUGUCUUUAAUCCACCCAGCAGGACUUACUGUUCUGCUACCCCUCUAAGGUGUUUGUUAAAUAGCAUUCUCUCUUCCUCCCUUCAUAGUUAAAGUUUUUGAGUGAAUAAUCCUAUUGGCAGCAUUUCUUCAUGGAUUUGGAAUCCCUACAUUUCUCUCCCUCUGGGUAUUGACACUUCUGGGCACUUGUGACUCCCCAAGGGCCACAUCCAAUGACAGUUUGUAAAUGAGAUUCUCUUUUGCCAUUUUGCAUCUUUUACCUUCUGCAGCACUUUUUUGUCCCCUCCCCCAAUUACAGUGAAUCCUUUUCUGUCGCCUUCAGGUGCUUCCUUGGGAUUCUGUCCUUUAUCGCCUUCUCUUUACCCCAUACCUUAAGCCAACCCUGCCAAUCUACUACUCUAGUUAUCUCCCCUACCCGAAACUCUGGGCCCCCAUAAUGUUCCUCCCAAGCUUGUUAUCUUCACCUGGAUGUCGUCAAGCUUGGUGUCCAAAGUCAAAGCUCAACAACUGUCUCUGUAAGCCGGCUCCCCUCUCCUGCCCCCUUCACUUCAGCCAUUUUGUUUGUAUAUGAAAAUAAACUUCUCCUGGUGGGAAAAAUUCAAACCCUCAGCACUAUCUUGGUCCCAAGGCUCUCGUUUGACCUCAAGUUCCAGGAAAUUCCCAUGUUUAGUUGUGAGCCUGUCAAUUUUAUCUAACUAUGUCUGCCACACUUACAGGGUGGACAGAUGAUGCUUCGAGGGUCUCUGGUUCUCUCUGGGAUGUGUACUCAUGCGUUCUGAAGACAGUUGCUAUAACUCCAGCCAUUUCUUCUGUAUUUUAGACAGGAAAAGGAGAUAGACCACAGAAUCAAAGGGCACUUGCCAAUGCCCAAGGGGCAUCCUUUAAGGGGAGUUUUCUUGAAGGAACUGUUUGAUAAUCUUUGCUUAUAUUGAGUUGACCAGAGCAGAGCUGCAUCAAUCCACCAGGGAGGCAAAGAAAUAUAGUCAAAACAUCUGACCACAGUGCUGCUCCAAUGAGAUAGAACACUAUGGGAAGGGAAGAAAAAGCAGCAUGAGAUUGAGUAGAUGACCAAGGGUCUUUACAAACCCGUUCUCUUUACUUUCCUAUGUUUUCUUAAAAGAAACAACCACUGAAUUUGGAAGGAUAAAAGAGACUACAGUUCUUUCUUUCCCACCCUCAUCAUCUUACUUCAUACUCUUCUUACCUUUUUGCUUAGAUUCUUGCAAAGUUACAUGUAAGUCCCUACUCCACUUUUACUAUUUCCUCGGGUCUCCACGCAUUUAUUAAAGAAGAGAGUGUUGCUGAUGGGCACUGUGCAACAUGCUCAGGAUGAAAGAAACAAUGUCCUUGUUCUUGAUUUGAUCUACACAUUAUAUACCUGUCACAAACAUCACACUGUACCCCAUAAAUAUGCACUAUUAUUAUGUGUCUAUUAAAAUCAAUCAAUCAUCAAUCAAUCCCAUGACCUUUGUUAUGGUACAUAUAGUCCUGUCGGGGAGACCAACAUGCCAGCAACUGGUCCCAGUACACCACAUCACAGGAUGAGAUGGACGUGGACGAAAUGAAUUGAGGAAGCAGAGAGAAAACCAUGGCUACUGGAGCCUGGGAAAGUCUGAGAAGACUCUAUAGAAAAGUGGAUAUUGUCAGCUGAGUUGUGUUUUAGUAAGCAUUUCACAGGCCAACUCAAAGAGAAAUAAUAAGUUUUCUGUGUUUGCAAACUAUUGCCCAUGAAAAACUGAGGGGUGACAUACUUGACCUCACUCCAAAUUUAAUUUUUAAAGAAAGGAAUCAUAAGUAAAAGUAAUUUAAAAUAUAACAUUACAGGGCACAGUAUUGAUAAAUGAGAGGAAAACUGGUUCUUAAAGAGUGUACCACUCACUGACCAUGCCCUGAAAUUAACUGAGAACUCAUUUGUCAAGAGUGUACCUACCCUGAGAAAAUCUUCCAAUUAACAUCAAAAGUGAUCAUUCUUAACCUCUCAUGCAUUAAGAAAUUCUUGUCUGCACCUGAUGUUCUGUUCAUAAUCAAUGGAGCUCUUUAUGUAUGUUAUUUCAAAUUUAUCACCCUGUAUAUUACUAAAAUGAACGAAUUAAUAAAUGAAUCUGCUGUAGGUCCAGAAGCCAGAUUUAUUUGUUGUCUCCUGGUUCUCAUAGGAUUUUCCUUUGGUCUGUAAGUCAUUUCACUCUGCAGUUUCUCACAGUUUCCGAUAUUUAUUGAUAGCUACUGACAGCAUGUGUUGGUACUUACAGACCAAUGGUGUCUAUGUAAGAAAAAUGCUUUUUGGGAGGAUUAGAUCUGUUCUGAAAAAUGUCAGCCAUGUCACUAUCAGACUAUGCUAAGAAGACAAUGCAAAAGUCCUAUCAGUUCUAACUGUAAUAUAUUGUCACAGAAACAUGCCUCAAGAUAAAUUAAGUAAUACUUGAUGCUGUCAUGGUAAUGGGAAGAUUGAUAAGUUUAUAAACUUUGGUUGAGAACAAAUUAGUGCAAUAUUCUUGGUGGCCACUAUCACGAUAUGAGAUUAAGAUAUGUUAGGCUAUAUCCCUAAAUUUGGACCCUUAAUUUCUACCUAUAAGAAUCUACCUAUGAAAAUGAUUAAAAUUUAGAAUAUGAUGUAGAAAAUGGAAGUCAGAGCAUUCAAUAAACUGCAAAAUAUCCAAGAGCUCGAAUAUUAUGUAGUCUAUCAAAAAUUCUGUCUUCAAAUAUUUUUGAUUACAUAAAAAAGUGCCUGUUACAUUCAGUGAUGGACAAGAAGGAAAGUAUUAAGGUCUCAUCCCUCUCUAUGUGGAUAAAUGUCAUUCAUGUUUAUGCAUGCAUAUCUUUCAUGUGAUUUGCACUGGACUGCUAAGAGUUUAAGUGAUUCCUGUUAUCUUCAGGGUUAUCUAAAUUUUAUAACUUUCUACAUCAAGAAGUGUGAGUUUCAUAAUCAGGAACAAAAAAGAAAAUCUUAAAAGGAAAGCUAAACAAAGAUCAUGCAAGAGAGUAGGAAGGGUUUGUUUUUGGCCCUUUUCAUAUGUAAUUGUCUACACUAAUAAUUCUCAGACUUGCAUACCAAGUGAAGUCAAUCUCACUAAGGGUCUCAAUCAAGACUCAGGCUUGAGUGUGUGCUCCAGGCUCUGAGCAUUCCCCCAUCACCCCUCUCCAUCCUGUCCUCCAAAUUUCCAUCCAUUUUUUUUUUCAAGCCAGGAAUGUUCCCAUAUGUCUGUAAUCCCAGCACUUUAGGUGGCUGAGGCUGGAGGAUUGCAUGUUCAAGCCCAGCCUGGGCAAUUUAGUGAAUUGGAAAGACAUUGUUUCAAAAUGUAAUAAAUGAAUGAAUGAAUGAAUGAAUAAUAAAUAAAUGAAUGGGCUGAGGAUGUACCUCAGUGGAAAGGCCCUGUGUUUAAUGCCCAGGAUUGAAAAAAGGAAUUUACUUUUUUACCAAAGCACAGCUAUUGUCAUGUGACUCCCUCCUUGAAGCAUCAUUAUAACUUCCUGACUGCUCGGCGUGCUCAGCGUGGCUCCAGCUCCUGUCCACCGUCUGAUACCUUUUGUAUCGCCUCAUCUUCUGACACUCCAGCCCAGCAGGCGUCUGGUUCCCUUCACGACACGCCUCACUCUGCCCUCCCAGUCACUGUUUCCUCAUGUUUGUUCGUUCUGCUCACCCUUCAAAGCCCUGCUAAAAUUCCUAGAAUGUUCAUUGUGAAUGUUUUCCUCCAUCAUUUCCUCUGUGGACUGUAUUGGUCUCUUUUAUUGCAUUUACCAGGAUUUAACUUGUUUCAUGCUUACUUGUGUCUUUCUCUUCUUGUGUUGUUAGCCCCCCAAAUUAUACCAUCUGUUGUGAUUUUCAGUUGUUAGCAGGUAUUACAGUCAUCUAAGGGUUAAUUAAAACAGAAAUUUGGGGUCCCAUUCCAAGUAUUUCUAAUGCAAUAUACCUGUGGAGGGGCAUAGGAAAGUCCUUUUCCAAUAAGGCCACAGGCGCUGCUGCUACAGUUGGUGACAGAAAACACUUUGAGAACCAUUGCUUUCCAAGGAGGGUGAGAAUGAUGUAAAACAAAUGAGACUCUGCUUUGCUGUGGAAGAUAGAGCACGGAUAGUGAAAUCAUAGGAUUUCAUGCAACUUGGGUUAGAUUUCUGUUCUGUCACUUGAUGUUUGAACAAGUUACUUAACCUUUCUAAGAAACUUAACUUUCUUGCCAGGUAGUUUAGGAACAUUAUUAACUCUUAUAUAAGAAUUUUUUCUGAGGGUUAUAUAGGAUUGCAAAAUACCCAAUAAAUGGUGGCUACUACUAUGAAUCCAUUUAUUCUACAAAAUAACCGUGUAAGAUACGUUUUUGCUCCCAUUGGCCGUACUGUACCCCCAGACAGCUUCUUGGACUUUUAAUUAAAG